rnacentral:rRNA from 1 species
UUGAACGCUGGCGGCAGGCCUAACACCUGCAAGUCGAGCGGAUGAAGGGAGCUUGCUCCUGGAUUCAGCGGCGGACGGGUGAGUAAUGCCUAGGAAUCUGCCUGGUAGUGGGGGAUAACGUCCGGAAACGGGCGCUAAUACCGCAUACGUCCUGAUGGAGAAAGUGGGGGAUCUUCGGACCUCACGCUAUCAGAUGAGCCUAGGUCGGAUUAGCUAGUUGGUGGGGUAAAGGCCUACCAAGGCGACGAUCCGUAACUGGUCUGAGAGGAUGAUCAGUCACACUGGAACUGAGACACGGUCCAGACUCCUACGGGAGGCAGCAGUGGGGAAUAUUGGACAAUGGGCGAAAGCCUGAUCCAGCCAUGCCGCGUGUGUGAAGAAGGUCUUCGGAUUGUAAAGCACUUUAAGUUGGGAGGAAGGGCAGUAAGUUAAUACCUUGCUGUUUUGACGUUACCAACAGAAUAAGCACCGGCUAACUUCGUG